GUGGGGAAUAUUGGACAAUGGGGGGAACCCUGAUCCAGCCAUGCCGCGUGUGUGAAGAAGGCCUUUUGGUUGUAAAGCACUUUAAGCGAGGAGGAGGCUACCGAGAUUAAUACUCUUGGAUAGUGGACGUUACUCGCAGAAUAAGCACCGGCUAACUCUGUGCCAGCAGCCGCGGUAAUACAGAGGGUGCAAGCGUUAAUCGGAUUUACUGGGCGUAAAGCGCGCGUAGGUGGCCAAUUAAGUCAAAUGUGAAAGCCCCGAGCUUAACUUGGGAAUUGCAUUCGAUACUGGUUGGCUAGAGUAUGGGAGAGGAUGGUAGAAUUCCAGGUGUAGCGGUGAAAUGCGUAGAGAUCUGGAGGAAUACCGAUGGCGAAGGCAGCCAUCUGGCCUAAUACUGACACUGAGGUGCGAAAGCAUGGGGAGCAAACAGGAUUAGAAACCCUGGUAGUCC
rnacentral:rRNA from 1 species